rnacentral:rRNA from 1 species
CCUACGGGAGGCAGCAGUGAGGAAUAUUGGUCAAUGGGCGCUAGCCUGAACCAGCCAAGUCGCGUGAAGGAUGACGGUUCUAUGGGUCGUAAACCUCUUUUAUAAGGGAAUAAAGUGUGGUACGUGUCCUUUUUUGUAUGUACCUUAUGAAUAAGGAUCGGCUAACUCCGUGCCAGCAGCCGCGGUAAUACGGAGGAUCCGGGCGUUAUCCGGAUUUAUUGGGUUUAAAGGGUGCGUAGGCGGCCUUUUAAGUUAGGUGUGAAAGUCUGCGGCUCAACCGUAGAAUUGCCGUUGAAACUGGGGGGCUUGAGUACGUUGGAGGUAGGCGGAAUGCGUGGUGUAGCGGUGAAAUGCUUAGAUAUCACGAAGAACUCCGAUUGCGAAGGCAGCCUGCCAAACCGUGACUGACGCUGAUGCUCGAAAGUGUGGGUAUCAAACAGGAUUAGAUACCCGAGUAGUC